CUGCGCUCUCACGCCCUCUUGGUCGCUUCGCUCUCGCUGCUUCUGAGGUACGAGUGAGCGCCGUGGAGGCUGCAGGGAGGCCAGGGGGCCGGGCUGCUCUCCUGGGGCUCGGUCUCACUUCAUGCCUGCGACAUCU